UUUUUUGUUAUUAAAGUUUUUAUUAUUUUAGAACACUAACCACCAAGAAAUAAAAACCACAAAUAGAACAGAGCCAAACAAAACAAAACCUCCAGGUCAGCGCAUAUCUAAUCAAUAAAAAUUCCACUCAAAAAAUUGACAUAUACAAAUAUCCUCGAUGUUAGCAGAAACAACCACAGUAAACAGAAGUAAUAACUCGUCAGUACUUUCCAAAGCAGCAGUUCAUCAAAGGAAUUUACUCGUCCCAAUAUUGCAGGAGAAGAAACCAUUCCAGGAUUUCGUGAAGUUUUCUAUGUCAUUAUUUAGCUUAGCCAGCAUUUGUUCAUAUGACACUAUUUCCAACAUCAACUCCAACCAGUUUUUAAUAUUCGGAACAGUUGCAGAUUUCCAUAUUCUGAGGAUUAUUCUGGCAGCCGUGACCGUCCCCACCUGCACCACGGUGCUUUGGUGUUUUGACAUAUUAGGCAUCACUAAUCACUAAUAAGUCUGGUGACAUGGGUAUCCCCACACCUAUCCACUUUCCAAUGUGUUGUAAUACUGUUUUCCAGAAUGGGGAGAUGCAUUUACAUCCCCACAUCGCAUGUAUAAAAGUUCCUGGUUCCGUUUUGCAUUUCCAGCAUAGGUUAUUGGCGAGCAGGCCCAUUCUAUGGAGCCUGGAUGGGGUGAAAUAAAAUCUAUGUACUAUCUUAUAGUGCGUAAAUUUCCCUAUCGAUUCUUUAAUAUAUUUCCCAUUAUUUGAAAGUACAUUCAACCAUUCUUCAUCACCAAAAACGUAGCCAAGGUCCCUCUGCCAGACAAUCCCCAGACUUUUACAUAUAUCCUUUUGCAUGCUGUUAAAUAAUUUAUAAAAUGUGGAUGCCUUAUAUUUGAUUUUACUUGAGCCCAUAAGUUCCUGUAUUGGAUUAUCCUUAUGUGUGAAAUUGUCUUUAAUAAUACAGUCUCUAAUUUGUAGAUAUCUCCAGAAACUUUCUUUUUUUAAGUUAUAUUUCAGCAUGAGAUCUGAAAAAGACAUAAAAACCCGUCUGUAUACAAAUCAUCCACAGUGCGUAUUCCCUUCACAAGCCAUUGUUCCCAGUAAACAGUUUUCCUUCCAAUACAGAUGGAUGGAUUAAACCACAAUGAAGAGUACAACUGUUUAAAAUGCGACAUCCUACAUAUUUUAUGCAUCUCCUUCCAUACUAAUUUAGAAUGUGCCAAUACUGGAUUUGUGGGGAGAGGAUGUCUAUUAUGCAUUUUACCAUGAGAAAAAACAUCUAUUGGUCUGAAAGGAUUCACUAAUUCUUCUUCAAUAUUCAUCCAACUCAGCUUUGUUUCUCCCUUUACAAAAUAUUUGAACCACCUAGACAUUUCAAAGGUGAGAUUAUAUAGCCUUACAUUAGGGAGAGCCACGCCCCUUAUGUUCCCUACACACCACAUUUUCUUAAUGCUAAUUCUGGGUUUCUUCUUGUCCCAAAGAAAGUCCUUAACAAAAGUCUCGUACUGUUUGUAUACCUAUGAUGGGAUGUCAACAGGCACCAUCAUGGACACAUAACUUAACAAUGGGGCUAUCACCAUUUUUAUUUCAUUCACCUUUCCCCAUAAAGAGAGCUCCAUUUAUUAAGAUUAGUUUUUAUUUUCUGAAGAAGCGGUUCCAUAUUCAGUAGCAUUAUUUCCUUUAGAUUCGAACGAAGUCGUACACCCAGAUAUUUCAUACCCGAGGGAACCCUAACGAUGCUAACGAUGCUAACAGGCUCCAGCAGCAGCUUGUUUUACACACAAACUGAUUAUCAGCAGCUGCAGAUUUAAACUCUGAUGCUGAACAGCAGCGACUGUCCUUCAGUUCACUGAUCAUCACUCAUUAAUUUAUUAUUAAACUGGUAUAAAGGACAAAGGAAAUUAAUAAUCACUCAUUAAUUUAUUAUUAAACUAGUUUAAAGGAUUUUAGCGUGUAGGUACAGCGUGUGACCACAAGAGGGCGGUAGAGAGCGAGUCUCUUCCAAAGAAUACAAAUAAAAGUUAAAUAAUCUGUUUACUGUAUUGCUCAGAUAUUUUUUGAAAAGCUUUUUUGACUUUUUAAUUUUAUUAAUUAUCCUUUAGGUGGUUUUAUCCAGCUUGAUGCUCUUGUAACGGUUGUGAAACAGGAAGUCAGGACCACAUCGGAAUCAGGAUUCAGGAUAAUUUUAUUCCUGUUCAAAACAAGAACAUUGCUGUUGCUUCGGAUUCUCCACAAACACUGUUGAGGAAAAAUGAUUAUUUUUAGUGCUUAAUACAGUUAAUCUUACGGCAUGUGUAAAAGGUAUAUUCAACACUCUUAUUUUGAACAAAUUUCUUUAUUUUGAACAGGUUUGUGUUAAGGAUUUAAAACUAAACCAGAUGACCAAGCAUUAAGGCAACAGGGGCCAAAUGCAGAUCUCUCAAUGGGGACUCCUGCUGUGCUGUCAGAGCACAGGAGGCCAUAAAAUUAGCAUAUCCUGCAGGGCAGAAUCACUGGAGCUUGGGGGAGAGAAGCCUGUUCUGUUCACAGCAGAUCAAAAGCCUGCCAGAAACCAACAUCUGGGAUGGUGUGAAAUCUUAUCUCAUGCUUCUCUGUACCCAAAAUGACCGUAGAACCACAGGGGUCAGGACGCAGCUGUUGGCUCUUUUGUUUUUACCAGAGAGCAAAUGGUCUUUGAUCUUUGGCGUAAAUUAGGGGGAGUUUCUAAGUUUCUCUGAGUGUCCAAGGUAGCUUCCAGUUGGCUGACAAGGGCUAUGCCUUAAGUGAAUAUAUUAAAGAGACAAGACACACCUUUA